rnacentral:rRNA from 1 species
CCUACGGGAGGCAGCAGUGAGGAAUAUUGGUCAAUGGGCGCGAGCCUGAACCAGCCAAGUCGCGUGAGGGAAGACGGUCCUAUGGAUUGUAAACCUCUUUUGUCGGGGAGCAAAAGACGCCACGCGUGGCGUUCCGAGAGUACCCGAAGAAAAAGCAUCGGCUAACUCCGGGCAAGCAGCCGCGGUAAUACGGAGGAUCCGAGCGUUAUCCGGAUUUAUUGGGUUUAAAGGGUGCGUAGGCGGCCGUUUAAGUCAGCGGUGAAAGUCUGUGGCUCAACCAUAGGAUUGCCGUUGAAACUGGGAGGCUUGAGUAUGUUUGAGGCAGGCGGAAUGCGUGGUGUAGCGGUGAAAUGCUUAGAUAUCACGCAGAACCCCGAUGGCGAAGGCAGCCUGCCGAGCCAUGACUGACGCUGAUGCACGAAGGCGUGGGGAGCAAACAGGAUUAGAUACCCCGGUAGUC